rnacentral:ncRNA from 1 species
UAACCAGAGUUAAUCAAUAGCUCCUUCCGUCAGCAAUGGCGGUUGCAAACCCCUCUAAUUGCUGGGAAGUCUCUAAGAUAUUAUUUUCUGGGUUUACACAAUAUAGUAGAGACAAUCAGCAGCCAAGUAACAAAUCCAUAACGAAACAAUUUCAAGCUAGCUCAACUUUGACGAUAAUUAAAGCUUGUUCCCCACUAAAUCUGAUGAUUUAUUAGCCUAAAAGUUGCAUGAAAAUCUCCUAGAAUCAUGGAUUUGUUAAAGGUUCAACGACUAUCCUGAAAGGGAGUACAGCGCAAGCCUAUGGCGCUGGAAACGGGGGGAGUCCUACUCAUUUAAACAAUGAGGGACUGUGAUAUAGUCUGACCUACCUGGCGACAGGUAG